UACAGAGGUCUCAAGCGUUGUUCGGAUUCAUUGGGCGUAAAGGGGGCGUAGGCGGCGCGGUAAGUCGGGUGUGAAAUCUCGGAGCUUAACUCCGAAACUGCAUUCGAUACUGCCGUGCUUGAGGACUGGAGAGGAGACUGGAAUUCAUGGUGUAGCAGUGAAAUGCGUAGAGAUCAUGAGGAAGACCAGUGGCGAAGGCGGGUCUCUGGACAGUUCCUGACACUGAGACACGAAGGCCAGGGGAGCAAACGGG
rnacentral:rRNA from 1 species